CGAGUUUCCACACUGGUAACUGCUUUGAAAGAUAUUCAGUAAAUCUAUUCUGUUAAAUAGGGAACCCUGGCACAGUACCCAGCCUGUCUGACUCAUGAAGGACUCUCCUCCUGCCCCCAACUUUGCCUGAACCAGAACUGAUCAGAAGAAGGACUUACAAAAGGCAAUUAAGAUGCAGUGAGAAACGCACACAAACCCCUACUGAUAAGGGUGACAGGAUUAAGGCAACUCCCCUAGUCCCGUUUGCAUUGGAGAUGAGACUGGGAGCCACCUUCAUUAGCAUUCACAGUGGAGAACAGAGAUUCCAAGGCACUAAACUUUGGGACCAGAGAAGCAGGGGAGCACUGCAUGAUGGGGGAUCCCUGCUCCAAAUACUAAUCAACACAGGUCUGCACACACCCAGCUCAUCAUUUAUCAGACCAAUUUUGGUAAUGACUCCUUUAUUGUUACCCAAAACACUGAAUCUGCCUCUUUGCACUGUGAGCUUCCUCAGAGUAAUGCCACCCAUAGCCAGGAGUGAUCAGUUCCUCUUGUCCAGCAUAUGAGGCAUUGUUUAGCCAUAAACAAACCUAGUGCUCCAUUGUUAGUUCCCUACAAAAGCUCAAGUUUCAGUCCUGGUGCUUGGAUCCAAAAGCUGCACCAGUUCCACUCCUUUUCUGCCUGGAAUGCCUUCAAUGAGAGUGCUGGGGGCUCUGCCUCUCAACAAACACCUGGGAACCUUGGAGUGGAAUUCCCAGUAUUCUUUCAUCACCAGACAUAUCUCCGUCCUAACUAUUACGUAAGUAUAUGGCCCUAUGUGCAGGUGAGUGCUAAUUAGUGAUCCAUAAUUUAGGUAUUAUGGUUUUACAAGAAUAGCAUGUUAUUGGACAGAAACAUGCCUGCAUUCUGAAAGGGUGAAGAUUUCUCAAACCCAUAGGUUUGGUAUUCCCUACUUUAGAUACCUUUUUGUAGGAUAACAUGUCUGUCUUCACAUAGAACAUCAUUUCUUGCCAGGGAAAUAAACCUUGUUGUAAUUCAAGUACACUAAUGAAGAAAGUAAUGAGGAAAGGAACAUUUUAGACAACUGGUAUAUAGCCAUAUCAUAUAGAUCAUUUUUGUUAUGUUUUGUCAAGGAAUCUUAAAUUUUUCCUAUCUUAACUUCUACAAACACAAAUGACGGAUUUCUUUCCAUAUUCUCUGCAAUGACAUUUGCAGUAAAUUUAAUUUAUAAUAUUGUACCAAGUAUCCACUGCUGUACUGUCAUUGAGAUUAUUGAAAUGAUAGUUCUGCUAGAUAAUCUAUCAAUCCAAACUGCAGGACUUGGACCAAUCUCGUCUAUAUUAAAAUUACCUUCCCUGUAAGAAAGCCAUAAUUCUUCUUCUUUCUUUCACAACUUUGCCUUCUGUUUUGAGUUUUAUGAAUAAUUGCUUUCUACUGAUCAAAACCAAAUUCUAAUAUACUACACACACUGUCAUUGAUCACUAUAAGCACUAAUGUAUAAAUAAAAAUAUGUUUAUGUUUCAAACUAAAACUGACAUCUCUAUAAUAAGACCUCAUACACACAAGCUAGUACAUUACUAUGCCAUAUCCAGUGAGCCAGAUUGCUCAGUUUCUAUGAGAAUGUUUCCAAGUUGAAAUACAGAUCCUAUACUAAUAAAAAGUAGAAGUCAUGGUAAAUGUAUUUGCUAUACAAAAUCUUCUUUGUAUAUUUCUUUCUUUUUUUAAAGUCAGUGCGUUCUAGGAUUCUCCAUUAAUUGAGACAGUAUUACACAUCAAGACACUGCAUUUUUAAACACAUUUAUUAUUUUAAAAUGUGACAUUACGCACUUUGGUAAAACUGUUUCAGGUCACUAAUAUUCAGUUUGAUGCUCCAUUGUCUAGUGGGUAGUCUAGUCAGACCAGAACAUCUUCACAAUUUACACACAAUUAGUGGCCUGUUAUCUACCAAGGGUGUGGAUAAAUGUGUGGCAAACCAAGACUAAUUCAUCAUCACAGCUUUCAGGCCCUUGAAAGCUGCUAGACCAGGGGCAGUCAAUUAUUUUGGGCAGAGGGCUGCUUACUGAGUUUCAGCAAGCCAUCAAGGGCUGCAUGACAGGCAGCUGAGGGCUGAUAAAUGUUAAUUUUCCAAAUUUUUUAGGGGCCCCGCGGGCCAUAUACAAUGGCCUGGCAGGCCACAUCCAGCCCCUGGGCCGCAUUUUGCCCACCCCUGUGCUAGAUAGAGGAAAGAUAGUGAUACGAAAUACAAAAAUGAAAUACAAUUUAAAAAAAACAACCUCUCCACAACUUCAGUUUUCUAAAUUGAACAGAGCAUAUUGAUUUCUUGCAUCAUAUCAUGUAAUGUAAAGCUACAUUUUUAUGACUGCUUUAUGAACAAAUUUGAAAAUAAAAGAACCACAGUUACUCUUGAAUUUCUUCUUUACCAGCUUAAAAAACAAGAAAUUCUGACAGUUCAUUGAUGGAAUGGCUCCUCACUGCCUGGCUUUAGCCAAAGGAAAGAAGAUAUAUUUUUAUGUGUUACAAUGGAAUCACAAAAGGAGACUAAAUUGAUUGUAAUAGCAGUGUCAAUACUCAAUACAAGUAAUACUGAUACUGUGGUAUACAUUUCAAUUUUCAGAUUUCCUUAAGUAAACUGUCAAUAAGUUAACUUUAUUUCUAGUGCUUAAGUUUUUAUUGUUGGGGGGUUGUUACUCAAUACAAUCAUACUAUUGUAUGGCAUUUUCCAAGAUAUUCAGCUGAGAUGCCCUUCACUGCCUUUAGUUUACAAAGGAUUCUGCACCAAAUGGAUGAAAGAAAACCAAGAGUACCCAGAACUAGUAAACCUAUCAAAAGAGGCAGGGAAAAGACAUGACAUAGGCUUGGAUGAGUGACAUCAAACAUUUAAAUCAUUGACAGACCCAAAAUGUAAGUAUAUGCAGGAAUACCAAGUAAAAUUAUGUUAAAUGAUAACAAAGAAACCAUUUAAAGUCAUAGAACUUGUUUAUAUUAUCCUAAACUCUCCUGGAGAGUUGGAGAUAUUAUUGUCACUUCAGCAGUCAAACUCACAGCCUGAUUCACUAAUGAGUACCUGGAAGGACAGCUGAGCCCGAAACAAGUACUCAGUGCUUCCAUAUGCACUCUGUACAUAGAUCAGAGGUUUUAUAUCCAUUCCAGGGGAAGAAUCAACUCAGAUUCUCCAUUUUACUUCCAGAUAGCAAAAUAAAUGUAAUCUAGAACGUGUGUUUGCCUAGAACUGUGGUUCUCAGCCUUUUUGAGACUCAAGACACCACUCCACAUCAUUUCAAAAUUUUGUGGCACACCAUAUUUAAGAAAAACUAAUAGAAGUGAGAAGUAGCUAAAGGAGAAGUGGCAUGCCUACCUGUGUCAUGUAAUGAAGCCAGAGACGCCAUCUCUGCUGCAGCCCCUUCUCAGCUGGGUUCCACGUACCUCUCAAAAUCCAAGGUACGCAGGGCAAUUUCACCCCAUUGCAAAGGUGCAGCAACCCAGUUAAGUUUCUUGCAGCAUCUCAGUUACAAGUCAUCUUAGUGGCCUAGAAGUAGGCAUGUGGCUAGCAUAAUGUUAACUGACACUUGUCCAACAUAUUCUUCUACUAUACAGAUAAUGUUCUGCUCACAUUUUCUAAAUUCCCCUUUCUCCAUUAUGAUGUUUUCAGUAUUCUCUGUGUGCAUAAAUUACCAUUGUUUCCCUUCUCUCAACUAGUACCUAAACACCUGGUCCAAGAUCCAAUGAAAGCCAUGGGAAUCUUUCCAUGGACUUCAGUGGGUUUGUGCAAAGUUUAAGGCCAGAUUGAAGAAGGAAGGAUUUCUAUUCUCUGAGCUACUGGAAGAGGGGCUGUACUCUUUGUAGGACAGGGGAAGCCAUUUCUCACUUCCUCUCUGUUUCCUGUGUUAAGAGAAGGAAAGGAUCUCCAGACUUGGGUUCUUUGUUCCUUCUUCCACUCUAGAAAAGUGUGUGGCUCUUUCCUUCCCAAUAAGCAAAGGGGCCUCAUAGUUCUCAUACCACCAGCCCCAUUUACAAAAAUUACAUUGAAUUACAAUAACAGGAACAAAGGCAUUGUCGUCAAAUAAAAUUUUAAAGGGGAUUAAUGAAAAAAAUACAAUCAGAAAAGAUCUUAUAAUUUCUUUCAUGCUCCAUUUACCUUCAGUCAUUUAUUUUCUAUUUUUCCUCUUAAUUCUGCUUUCAUUUUCUGAAACUUUCUAGUCAAAGCUUCUUUAGUUUCUCGCAGAUGGCUAAAAUAAAACAAAUUAAAGUUCAUAGUACUUGUCAUUUAAAAAAUAUGUAUUCACAAUGUGAUUGCUGAUUAAGAAAAAAGAAUGUUGUGCCUAAGGAAUGUGGACAGGAGCCAGAACAGGAUGACAUUAGGAUGGCUUGGACCCCUGCUUCAGAUAGGAACUGAGAAAUUUCAAAUCUGCAAAGGUAGUUGGAUGGUAACUAAAGUAUGAAUGACGCAUGCCUCCAGAGGCUGGGGGGGCACAGUGACUGCCCGCAGGUGGCAGCAGCAGUGGUGGUAGCAGCGGAGGGGGCAUGGCAGCAGCAAGCAGGGAGCUCCCACAGGUGGCUGCGAUGGUGUCGGCGCUGAGGGGUAUGUGGGGAGCAGUAAUGAGAACUGUCCAGUGGCUGGUGACCACCCACAGAUGCUGCUGGCAAUGUUGGCAGUAGCCAGCAGUGAUCAGCAACCAUCCACAGGUGCCGCCAGCAGCAUCGGCAGUGCUUCUGUCAGGGGGUACACUGCCAAUCUCAAGGGGUGCACAUGCACCCACAUGCACACCCUACACAUCGCCAAUGGGCUAAAGCAUUGCUGUCUGAGAGGGAAGCACAUACCUCCUCCACCUGUAGCAAAUUUAAGGACCCAUGUGACUCAAAUCAUAGACCUGAAGGUGGCAAGGCAAAGGGAUUGGAUCUUCAGAUCUUCAGAUGAAGUAUGCCUAUUGGAGAGCUCCAAGGCUGGAGCUACCACCAUGAACUCUGUGUUACAGUAGCACAGGCAGCAUCUAAAAGUGGCUCUUUGUUAUAAAACUGGGGCCUCCCCCAAUCUCCCCCAAUAUUAAUUCAGAUACCAUAGAGUUACAACCUGCAUGAGGGCAGUGUAUCUUUUCAGCCAAUCUACCUAAUAUUUUACUGAAUAAUACCUAACAAUAUCUCUUAAUCGGAGAAGAGAAGACUGAGAAGGGAUUUAAUAGCAGCCUUCAACUACCUGAAGGGUCAUUCCAAAGCAGAUGGAGUUAGACUGUUCUCAGUGGUGACAGGUCACUUAAAAAGGAGAAAUGGUUUCAAUUUGCAGCAAGGGAAAUUUAGGAAGAACUUUCUCAGUAGGAGGGUAGUAAAGUACUGGAAUAGGUUACCCAGAGAAGUGGUGGAAUCUCCAUCCUUGGAGGUUUUUAAGACCUGGCUAGACAAAGCCUUGGCUGGCAUGAUCUAGUUGGGGACAUUCCUUGUAUGAGCAGGGAGCUUGACUAGAUGACCUCCUGAGGUCCCUUCCAACCCUAAUUUCCCAUUAUUCUAUGAUUUUUCUCAUUGUUCUGGCUAGUAGCAUAAGUAUGGAGGGUGGCAGGGAUGUUUUGGCUCUUCUUCAUCCAAAAAUGUGGCAUGUGCAUAUCCUGAGUAGUUAGAAUCAUCUGUAUUCCAUAUUCCGGGGGAUAUAACUGCUUGCCCACCUAGCAGUAGGAAUGUAAUACUUCUUGACUAUUUCCUAUCUUUUUGUAAAGGGCAUUUCCAGGUUGCUGGGUUCCUCUUUUCCAUCAAAUUAGGAACAGAAUGGAUUGACCUUUCCCCUUUUUCCCUUAUUCCCUUAAAGUAUAUGUCUCAUUUUCUUUGGGUACAACUUCUUGACCCGAACGUAUCCAUCCUGAAGUACAGCUCUAGCAUACAUGGAAAGCUAGUCUGAUGUAUGUUUCAGUAAAAGUAUGAAUAUCAUGCUUCUAAAAAUAUGCAGCAGCAGGAAUGGUUACAGUCUAGCAGUCAGAGGUUCCUACCGAUAACACAAUUAGCUCUCUUGGUGACUUGCCUCCAAAGCACAGCUGGAUCAAUGUAAUGCCCAGCAAGAAGUAUUCAAAUCAGUCUUAUCCUGGGAUAAAUCAAUGAUAUCCUUCCGUUUAAAGCACACUGAGCUUCAGAUUGAGACCCAUGUUUCUCUCCAGUUAUAUCUAUUUAUCAGGUAUUGAGCAAAGAGCAUAAUCUACAGUAUCCAUAGUAAUAAUAAUGUAACAGGCCCUAGAAAUGUGCUUGUACAGUCUUACAGUUGUGCUAAGGUAUUGCAGUAAUUUAGUUGUAUAUAAGAUACAGUUACUAAAUUAACCCAGUGAUGAUGGUGAUAAUGUAUCAAAAUCAAAAUUUUAAGAUAUGGAAUGCAUAAAAAUAUGAAUACUAAUCCUAUUAAAAAUAUUUAAAAGAAAAACAGACCCCUCAAAACUUAUUUUAACACACUAUAGUUAUUUUUGUUCUCCAAUAUAUAAUCACAGGGUAAAUUUUACAUUAUUACACUGUAUCAUAGAAUAUUUUUAUUCUCAAAUAUGUGUGUUUUGCUUAUUUAAAAAAUGUCUAUUGUUUCAUGAUCACUUCAUAAAUGAAACACAGAAUUGUGAAAAAUUCAGAAAUAAAAAUAAAUAAACAAUCCCCCCAAAACAUUGUGAUUCCAAAAUAAUCACCAGUCUGAAAAAAAGAUACUUUACUUAGUUUUGAGGUGUAUCACUGACUGGUGUAAAGGCAUAUGUGGGACGUGGGGCCCCAUUCCAUGACAUAAAGACUCCAGAGACAUCUUUGAUCAUUCUUUGUGAUGCAUAAAAUAUGUCACAGCUGUACUAUAAAAGAUAUCAGGCAUCAGGUAAGGUUGUCAUUUGCCCUUGCUGGAUUAUAUUGGAAAAAAUACAGCUUUUCUCUCUUGUACUUGUGUGGGAUUUCUGCUCAUGAAAACACAGCCUAUUUAGUCUGUGUGCACAUUACCAUAUUCCUAUUUUAUUUCAAAAGAAAGUAGUCAUAAAAUAAACUUGCUGAAGAGAAUAGAUCUGGUUGAUAUUUUGUUUCAGCAUCCACCUAUUUCAUAUGUUAUAAGUUGUGAAUAUGUUAAAUACUGUGUAAAACGGCUACAUUAAAGCUAGGUUCUACAAAAGGACUGAUAUUUCUCUAGGGACCAGUUCCUUUCAUUUGACUUCUGUUAUGCACACAUCUUAUUUUAGUUCACAAUCUGAGCCUGUGUCACAAAUAAUAAGUAUAACAAAAGAAUAAUGGUAGUAAAGUAGUCUGAAAUGUUUAAGGAUUUAUAUAGUUCAAACCUCGGGUUUUUUAAAAUUAUAUCUAUUAAGGCACCAGUAUUACUAACAUAUUCAUCAAAUUAAAUAUAACAUGUAAUUGUAAUAAAGUAGUUUAUACUAGGAGUGUCAAACGUAUAGCCAACAGACUGGAUAUGGUUGGCAAAGCAGCUCUGUCUGGCUCGCUGGGCUACUGCUAAAUUGAUGGAAGUUGUGGAGCAUGGCCUGCCACAGAAUUCAGCACCUUUUGUCCCUGCUGGCCAUAGGAAUUGUGGGUGAGCUUGGCUCAGCACCAUCGCCCCAGACCCUUUCCUGGGCUCACUGAUGCCAUUGGACCCUUCCUGCUGCUGACAGAUCCCUGCCCCUGAACCCUCACUGCCUCCUGACCCACUGCUGUUGGACGCGUUGCUGCUGCCAGGCACUCUGGAUGGAUCUGCCCCGUGAGAAGCUCUGCAGUCUGGAACUGACCCAGACCCCCAGGUGUGUUUAACACCCCAGGUUUAUAUAAGUUAAUGAUCUGGUAUCAUUGGGUUAUUCUGUCAAACAGUAUCUCUCUAAAAAAAAAAAAAAUCAUAUCUUUUUAUUCAAUAGAUAAAGGGGGAAGUCAUGAUUAUCAAAAUAAAAAUGCUCUAUUAAAAUAACUUUGUAAACUUCCCUUUGUGUAAUAUUUAGUAAAAAUUAUUAAAUGCAGUAUGUUCAGAUAAAACAAUAUUUUAAUAUGGAAAGUAUGAGGAAUAUGUGUAACAUGUUCAUGUAUGAGUAGUUACAUCUUAUUAAAUUCAGUGUCUCAUAAACCUGCUGUAUUAAGAUGUGAAAGUAGGAGCUGUGUUCUUUUUUAUAUAAUGAUGGUUCUGUGAUUAUUUGAAAUUUUAUUCUGGAUAUUUUUGCUGUUCAAAAUUAUAGCCAUUCACAAAGCCAAACGUUGUCAGUUAAAAACAAAAUAAGAAAAACACUCAAGUGAGCAAGAGAAAAAUACAUGAUUUUAAAUGUGUGCUCAUUUGGAGUCAUCUGAUAUCAGACACACCUUAACAAAUAAAAAUCACUAUUCCCAAAGCCACUGAAUCUACUUUUACCAGUUGUGCACCUAUGUUGUUGUUUUAAAAACUUUGAGGCAAACAGACUUUUCUAGACUGUAGUUUUCAUAUUAGCUGCUCAACAAGGAAAUAAGUCAUUAAUUUUUUUAAACACUUUUCACAGAGAAUUAGCAUAUGGCACAACAGACAAUAUCGAUUAGGGUCCACCAUCUGGCAGAGGUCUAAAAAAGUGGCUGCCAUAUGUUUUGACCAAUGCUGCAGAACAAACUCUUUCAUACUGUCACCACCUCUAGUUCUGUUUUAUAAAUUACUUUCAGUUUUAUUAUAUAUAUGAAAAAGAUUAGGAAAGGUUUCAUCUAUGACUGGUUGCUUAAUUGGAAAACAGACGCUAUAUAAAAUUUUUAAACAGGCACUGGGUGAAUAGGACUCAGUUUGAAAGCCAUUUGACAGCUGUAAGUAGCAGAGGUGCAGGGACUGCUAUAAAUUGUUUAUUAUGUAGAUCUUUAAUUCUUAAUCAGUGAUAUUUAAAUAAUUCUUUUAUAUUCAACAAUGGUAGUUUAUCCUUGAUAAUAACUAAAGGAGAAAAUGUAACACAAAAAAUCUUGAAGAGAAAAAUGUUCAUGAAAUUCUCAUGUAAUAUUGAAGACUGGUAAAAUAAAAAAUGUAUUCAGUCUUUUUUUUUCUUCUUAAAAAGAUACAGUUUCAUAAAGAAUAGAUUUUAAAAAUCAGAAAUAAAUAUAUAUAUAUAUAUAUAUAUAUAUAUAUAUAUAUAUAUAGUGCUGUUGGAAAAAUAACAUAUCAGGUUCAAAUGAA